ACGGUACCUACAGAAGAAGCACCGGCUAACUACGUGCCAGCAGCCGCGGUAAUACGUAGGGUGCGAGCGUUGUCCGGAAUUAUUGGGCGUAAAGAGCUUGUAGGCGGUUUGUCGCGUCUGCCGUGAAAAUCCGAGGCUCAACCUCGGACUUGCGGUGGGUACGGGCAGACUAGAGUGUGGUAGGGGAGACUGGAAUUCCUGGUGUAGCGGUGAAAUGCGCAGAUAUCAGGAGGAACACCGAUGGCGAAGGCAGGUCUCUGGGCCACUACUGACGCUGAGAAGCGAAAGCGUGGGGAGCGAACAGGAUUAGAUACCCUGGUAGUCCACGCCGUAAACGUUGGGAACUAGGUGUGGGUCUCAUUCCACGAGAUCCGUGCCGCAGCUAACGCAUUAAGUUCCCCGCCUGGGGAGUACGGCCGCAAGGCUAAAACUCAAAGGAAUUGACGGGGGCCCGCACAAGCGGCGGAGCAUGUGGAUUAAUUCGAUGCAACGCGAAGAACCUUACCAAGGCUUGACAUAUACCGGGAAACACCCAGAGAUGGGUGCCCCGCAAGGUC
rnacentral:rRNA from 1 species